GCUUAUGGCCACACCAUCCUCAAAGUGCCUGAUCCUAUCUGACCUCGGAAGCUAAGCAGGGUUGUGCCUGGUUAGUACUUGGAUGGGAGACAUCCUGGCAAUAGCAGGUGCUGAAAGCG
rnacentral:rRNA from 1 species